rnacentral:lncRNA from 1 species
AUGUUGCUCCCUGCUGAACUCAGGAGGAUUCAGUCCUAAUAUGACAAAGAUAUACACUGCUGUAACUGAAUCUAAUAAGGGAAGCAGUCGCUUGGAAUACAGCAUUCUGAAGAAAACAGUUGGAUCCUGAAGAAAACAGUUGGAUUCAUUCUUGGAUCAAACUAAUGAAAAUUAAGAAAUGCUUUUAUGUGUCAUUUGGCUGGAGUGUGGGGGGCAACGCCAACUGGAGACGCUCCAACUCCCACCUUGCCAGCCGUGGCCCUGGAAAGGCCUCACUGCUGCAGGCAGUGAGAAGGGCCGCUUCUACACUGGCCCCUCUGGUCUUUGAGCACUGAACAUGGUGUCAAGUGAUAUUUCACAGCAGCAUGUUAAAGUGAAG